UACGGGGGGGGCAAGCGUUGUUCGGAAUUACUGGGCGUAAAGGGCUCGUAGGCGGCCAACUAAGUCAGACGUGAAAUCCCCAGGCUCAACCUGGGAACUGCGUCUGAUACUGGAUGGCUUGAAUCCGGGAGAGGGAUGCAGAAUUCCAGGUGUAGCGGUGAAAUGCGUAGAUAUCAGGAGGAACACCGGUGGCGAAGGCGGGUCUCUGGGCCGAUAUUGACGCUGAGGAGCGAAAGCGUGGGGAGCGAACAGG
rnacentral:rRNA from 1 species